rnacentral:misc_RNA from 1 species
UCCGGGUUGAUCCCGGCGGCCUCGCCAGACAGCUUAACUGGCGACGAGGGUUGCGCUCGUUGCGGGACUUAACCCAACAUCUCACGACACAAGCUGACGACAGCCAUGCACCACCUGUACACCGACAAAAGGGGCCUUAUCUCUAAGGCUUUCCGGUGUAUGUCAAACCCAGGUAAGGUUCUUCGCGUUGCAUCGAAUUAAACCACAUGCUCCACCGCUUGUGCAGGCCCCCGUCAAUUCCUUUGAGUUUUAAUCUUGCGACCGUACUCCCCAGGCGGAUAACUUAAUGCGUUAGCUGCGCCACCCAGGCUCUAUGAGCCCGGACAGCUAGUUAUCAUCGUUUACGGCGUGGACUAC